GCCAUGGCGGAGGCGCGGCAUACGGCUCAGUAACACGUGGCUAACCUGCCCUUGGGACGGAGACAACCCCGGGAAACUGGGGCUAAUCCCCGAUGGGUGAGGAGACCUGGAAUGGUUCCUCACCGAAAGGGCGUUGAAACCAUGCUUUUCGGCGUUGCCCGAGGAUGGGGCCGCGGCCGAUCAGGUUGUUGGUGGGGUAACGGCUCACCAAGCCUUUGACCGGUACGGGCCGUGAGAGCGGGAGCCCGGAGAUGGGCACUGAGACAAGGGCCCAGGCCCUACGGGGCGCAGCAGGCGCGAAAACUCCGCAAUGCGCGAAAGCGUGACGGGGCUAUCCCGAGUGCCGUCCGCUGAGGAUGGCUUUUUCACGGUGUAAGAAGCCGUGGGAAUAAGGAGAGGGUAAGUCUGGUGUCAGCCGCCGCGGUAAUACCAGCUCUCCGAGUGGUGGGGACGAUUAUUGGGCUUAAAGCGUUCGUAGCCGGUUCGGUAAGUCUCUCGUUAAAUCCAGCGACCUAAUCGUUGGACUGCGGGAGAUACUGCCGGACUAGGGGGCGGGAGAAGCCGAUGGUAUUCUCGGGGUAGGGGUGAAAUCCUGUAAUCCCGGGAGGACCACCAGUGGCGAAGGCGGUCGGCUAGAACGCGCUCGACGGUGAGGGACGAAAGCUGGGGGAGCGAACCGGAUUAGAUACCCGGGUAGUCCCAGCUGUAAACGAUGCGGGCUAGGUGUUGGGGGGGCUACGAGCCUCUUCAGUGCCGCAACGAAGGCAUUAAGUCCGCCGCCUGGGGAGUACGGCCGCAAGGCUGAAACUUAAAGGAAUUGGCGGGGGAGCACCACAAGGGGUGAAGCUUGCGGUUUAAUUGGAGUCAACGCCGGGAACCUUACCGGGGGCGACAGCAGGAUGAAGGCCAGAUUGAAGGUCUUGCCAGACAAGCUGAGAGGAGGUGCAUGGCCGUCGCCAGUUCGUGCCGUGAGGUGUCCUGUUAAGUCAGGCAACGAUCGAGACCCGCGCCCCCUGUUGCCAGCGGAUCCCGUUGGGAUGCUGGGCACACUGGGGGGACUGCCGCCGACAAGGUGGAGGAGGGAGCGGGCCACGGCAGGUCAGUAUGCCCCGAAUCCCCCGGGCCACACGCGAGCUGCAAUGGCCGGGACAGUGGGUUUCAACCCCGAGAGGGGGAGGUAAUCCCGAAACCCGGCCUCAGUUGGGAUCGAGGGCUGCAACCCGCCCUCGUGAACGUGGAAUC
rnacentral:rRNA from 1 species